GUACGCUGGCGGCACGCCUUAUACAUGCAAGUCGAACGCAGUAGCAAUACUGAGUGGCAAACGGGUGAGUAUAAUGUGGGAAUCUGCCUUUUGGUUUGGAAUAACACGGGGAAACUUGUGCUAAUACCGGAUAAGCCUUCACAGGGAAAGUUUUAUACGCCGAAAGAUGAGCCCGCACUUGAUUAGCUAGUUGGUGAGGUAAAAGCUUACCAAGGCGAUAAUCAAUAGCUGGUCUGAGAGGAUGAUCAGCCACAUUGGGACUGAGACACGGCCCAGACUCCUACGGGAGGCAGCAGUAAGGAAUCUUGCACAAUGGGGGAAACCCUGAUGCAGCGAUGCCGCGUGAGUGAAGAAGGCCCUUGGGUUGUAAAACUCUUUCGUCGGGGAAGAAAAUGACUGUACCCGAAUAAGAAGUCCGGCUAACUUCGUGCC
rnacentral:rRNA from 1 species